AAAAGAACUUUGAAGAGAGAGUUCAACAGUACGUGAAACCGCCUAGAGGUAAACGGGUGGAUCCGCAAAGUCGGCCCGCGGAAUUCAGCUCGGAUGGCYGGCGCGAUGGCUGGGUAAGGGAUCUUGACGGACCCUCCCGGCUGACGACGCUGGCCGGCCGUGUGCACUUUCCGCGGGCAGAGCGCCACGACCGGUUCUCGGGCGGUCAAAAGGCGGUGAGGAAGGUAGGUGGGCGCUYCGGCGCUUACUGUUAUAGCCUCGCCUGUCCCGAUCCGCUCUGGGGACCGAGGAGCCGCCGCCGGUGUAGGCCGCCUCGCUCUCCUGGGGAGUUCGACUGGCAGAGACUGGGCAACCGUGUCUGCCGACCGCUCUCUGGGAUGGAUGGGGUGGGCCCGCCGGCACAGGGUCAGUGGCGAAUCGGUCGGCCCUCCACCCGACCCGUCUUGAAACACGGACCAAGGAGUCUAACAUGCGCGCGAGUCGUUGGGUAGUACGAAACCCGAAGGCGAAGUGAAAGCGAGGGCCGUCUCGUACGUGCCUAGGUGGGAUCCCGGGGCUUCUUGUUCUGGGCGCACCACCGGCCCGUCUCGUCCGCGCUGUCGGUGAGGCGGAGCAGGAGCGUGCAUGUUGG
rnacentral:rRNA from 1 species